rnacentral:lncRNA from 1 species
CUGAGUUGAAGCAAAUGUUUGUUGAAUUAAGUGGUGAUUUCCUGCUUGUCUUUAAGAAGAAGGAGAAAAGGGAAAGAAAAGUUUUUAUUGGUGGAGUUUGGGUGUUCUGUGAUUAUUCUGUAGCAGUAGUGGGAAACACAAAUGUUGAGUGUGCCAGGUACCUGGUACAGAUCUGGGUACUGGGUACAGACUGCGCCAGGGCCGUGCACAUGCUCACUGUGGUGGAAUGUAGCUGUCAGAGGCGAUGGGCUAGAGAUGAGAGUUCUUUAGAAGGAAGAGAAACGGUCUGGAUGUGAAUCAGCCAGUGAUGACAAAGCCUCCAGUCACUCUUUACUCAACAUGUGGUCGCCCAGGCAAAACUGGGUAGGAAACUGCUGGAGUUCACCAUUCGCACUGAAGAGGACAGAGACAAUGAGGGGUGACCUGUCCGUCACAAAAUGCCCUGCGGCCAUUUGUCUAGCACUCUCAGUGUUACAUGUUGUAGUGGACCUUGACCGCUGUGGGCACUGUGCCUGUCUGUAGACAUAAGAAAACUGUUGAGCACAUGGUAAGCCUUUUAAUCCACGUCGUAGAUCAUCAGCUCAGAAAUGUAUUUAGAUAUUGCAAUUUCACAUGUUAAACUGCCACCUAAAAUAAGAUAAAAUGUAUUCGUAUUUCUCUGAUGUGACUUGAAGAGGGAGUUGGUUGAUGUUUGAAUCAUUAUUAUCCUCGUUAAUCAUUUAUUGCCAUACAGUGCUAAAUUUGGAGCAUUUUUAGAAAUGUAUUAUGUUCAAUACGGUUACUUUUGUAUUAUUCUAAAAAAAACAGAACUGAUUUUUUACAUAAUAAAUGAAUGACUUGUCUCGACUAUGAUGUAAUGGCAUGAAACUUAUCCCAGUUUAAUAUCUGCCAAGAGAAACAUAAUAACAAGGUGAGGAAGCUCCUUCGGUGCCCAGCGACAACCACUUUCAGAAACAGGGAGUGAAGGGGUUUCAGCUGAACAGCGCAUAAUCACGCGAAGAAUAAAUACUUUUACUGGAAUUAUUCUGUAAAUAAAGCACCCAAAUUAAGAUUCAGUUGUUCCACGUACUUUUGCAUUACAGCUGUACAGAAAACAAAUAAACAAAUAAUUUAAUUAUAUAUGUCUUUUGUGUUUUAGUCUAUUAUAUCUUGAGCAUUUAAUACAUUUAGUUCUUUGGUUGUUAGCACAUACCGUCACAUUUAGAAUUUGAAAAGAAAAUAUGGUUACACCACUAUCACAUUUCACUGAAAUGUUUGUUUCUCUUUGUUUGUUUUUUUCUUCACAAACAGGCCUUCAUCAAGUUACUCGUGGAGGCAUGAGAAGUGAAUGAAGUAAAGAGAAUUAAAAAUUAAACAUGAUUCUUGGUUAAUUUGUAGAAGACGUAUAACAUAAUAUAUUUUAAUGGAGAAAUAAGUGCAGAAAUGUUACUAAUUUUAAAACACAUUUUAAAUGUUACUUGAACAAACAGGAACGCUGCUAUAACAGUUAGGGAAUUGGAUAUGUAUUAUUUUUUAGGUUUUUAUUUUUGUUGUCUUCUGAAAGGAGCUGAAAAAGGUGUGUUCAAAUUAAAAGGUUUAACAAAUUGCAAUGUUUUCUUACAUUGGCUUAAAAACCUGAAAACAAGGAAUAUUUUAAUGUAAAGGGUAUUCAGUCCUCAUUAAUCUUUCUGCUUUAUUUUUUACUUUAGGCAAAUAUCGCACUGAAUUUGGUUCUUUGUUCUACAAAUAAUACAUAAAGAUAGCUACUGUUAGCUCAUUCUGCACAGAUUUAAAAGAGUAAAUAAACAAGAUUUAAAAGCAUUUUAUUACUCUUAUUGCUCUUGGUACAAUUACACUGGAUGCAUUUUUUCAUGUUCAAUCUGAUGCAUUCUGUACCUACCCUGCUCAACCAGUGUAGAGGUGUAUUACUGACAACAGGCUGUUUCCUUUUUUCUUGUUUAAGGAUUUAGCACGGUCUAAUUACUUGCAACAUCUCCUGUCUUUACACACUGGCAAGAAAGAAUUAUCCCGACAUUUACAAAAAUAUUCUAAUAUGCUUUUACCAAAUCUAUUCAAAAU